UGGGGAAUUUUGGACAAUGGGGGAAACCCUGAUCCAGCCAUCCCGCGUGUGCGAUGAAGGCCUUCGGGUUGUAAAGCACUUUUGGCAGGAAAGAAACGUCAUGGGUUAAUACCCCGUGAAACUGACGGUACCUGCAGAAUAAGCACCGGCUAACUACGUGCCAGCAGCCGCGGUAAUACGUAGGGUGCAAGCGUUAAUCGGAAUUACUGGGCGUAAAGCGUGCGCAGGCGGUUCGGAAAGAAAGAUGUGAAAUCCCAGAGCUCAACUUUGGAACUGCAUUUUUAACUGCCGGGCUAGAGUGUGUCAGAGGGAGGUGGAAUUCCGCGUGUAGCAGUGAAAUGCGUAGAUAUGCGGAGGAACACCGAUGGCGAAGGCAGCCUCCUGGGAUAACACUGACGCUCAGGCACGAAAGCGUGGGGAGCAAACAGG
rnacentral:rRNA from 1 species